UUUUUUAAAAAGAGCUUAGAUGUCAUCUUUCAAGAAAUUAUCAAGGAAAACUGAUCUGAUAUUCUAGAACCAGAUGGUAAAAUAGAAAUGGAAAAGAAUCCACUACUCACCUCUUCAAAGAAAUUCCAAAAGGAUAAUUUCCAGGAAUGUUAUAGCCAAAUUCUAGAACCCUCAGGUCAAAGAGAAAAAUAUUGCAAGCAGGCAAAAAGAAAUCAUUCAAAUAUUAUGGAUCCUCAGUCAGAAUAAGAGAUUUAGCAGCUUCUACAUUAAAGGAUCAGAAGGUCUGGAAUAUGAUAUUCUGGAAGACAAAGGAGCUAGAACUCUAACCAAGAAUCAUUUAUCCAGCAAAACUAAGCAUAAUUCUUUAGGGGGGGGGAAUGGGUAUUCAAUGAAAUAGAGGACUUUCAAAUAUUCCUGUUGAAAAGACCAGAGCUGAAUGGAAAACUUGACUCUCAAAUACAAGAUUAAAAAGAAGCAUUAAAAAGACUAUGCACAGGUAUUGAAGAAAAGGAAAUUUUUAAAAGAAGCAGCUAUGGAUGGAUGGAUCAGCUAAGUUUCAUUUAUAAUGUCAUUGUGGAUUCUGUGUUGCUCUGGCUGUGGAAAAGACAUGGCAGAGGAUGCUGCCUCUCUCUCAAUCAAUCUGAUGUACAAAUCACUCAUUUCUGUGAAAGAUGGUUGUAUAAGAAUCAGUAUCCCCAUUCAACAGAUGAGAAAACUGAGACUUCAAGGGAUUAAGAUUACUUUUAGUCAUAUGGUUAAAGAAUGUUGUAAGCAAGGAAACUGCCUCACUUAAAAAAUUUUAAUAAAAGUAUUUUCCAU
rnacentral:lncRNA from 1 species